GGUUCCAUGGUGUAGCGGUGAGCACUCUGGACUCUGAAUCCAGUGAUCUGAGUUCAAGCCUUGGUGGGACCU
rnacentral:tRNA from 1 species